rnacentral:rRNA from 1 species
GAUGAACGCUGGCGGCGUGCCUAAUACAUGCAAGUAGGACGCAGUUGCGAACGGGUGAGUAACGAGUAGGUAACUACCUAUUAGAGGGGUAGAAAUAUUGGACAAGAUAGCUAAUACCGCAUACUAGUAGAUAGACCUGUGUUGGAUUAGCUAGUAGGUAGGGUAAUGGCCUACGUAGGCAACGAUACAUAGCCGAACUGAUAGGUUGACCGGCCACACUGGGACUGAGACACGGCCCCGACUCCUACGGGAGUCAGCAGUAGGGAAUUUUCGGCAAUGGGGGGAACCCUGACCCAGCAAUGCCGCGUGAGUGAAGAAGGUUUUCGGAUCGUAAAGCUCUUUUAGUGGGGAAGCGGUACCUAAUCAAAAAGCAACGGCUAACUACGUGCCAGCAGCCGCGGUAAUUC